GUACUUACCUGGACGGAGUCAAUGGGUGAACAAUAAGGUUUAUGGCCUGGGUUAUUGACUUCCAUUGCACUGAGGAGGGGUGCUAUCCUAAAGGUCUCUCCAAAUGGCAGAGUCUACGUCAUAAUUUGUAGUAGCGGGGGCCUGUGUUCGCGCGGCUCCUUU